rnacentral:antisense_RNA from 1 species
UAAUUGGAGUUAUCCUGCGAUGCAUGCUUAACUUCUCCGUAUUCUCUUGUCUUUGUGGUGAUGUGGAGGGACCCACUGACCAGAAGAUACAUCAUUGCCUGAACACUGGCAGGAAAGGAAGAGCUGCCAAGUACCAACCAGAAUCUAAACGGAGAUUGUUGAAGGAUGGAAGAAGAAUUAGAUAUAGGCUGUCAGUGCACAUAUUUUUUGCAUUAAAUUAUAAACAAUAUGCUGUUAAUAUUUAAAUCAUGGAGGAAUACCAGAAGAGAAAAUAUGUGUCCUUGUUUUUCUGUCAUUUCACUUUCUCCUCACCAUGUCAAUAUCAAAAGUAUACUGUGUCUUUGUACUCCAUGUCAUCAGGCAUAUGCCUAUCUGCAAGUACACAACACUGUAGAGAUGUUAAAGGCAAAUAAGAAGCAUUCAGAAAACUUCAUGAACAUCAAAUGUCAAUUGCAACACAAGAUUUUGAUACAACUCUUGAUUUGACUGGAUUACUUCCCAACCCUCAGUAAUGCUCCAUUGUGGGAGCCUGUGUCUCAACAGUUCACACCUGCCGUUUACUCCACUGGGUUGUGAAGAUUCACAGAAGAUGACAGGAAGGGGGGAGAAAUAAGCUAAAAUAAACUUUAGAGGAUGGCCCCA